UGAGGAAUAUUGGGCAAUGCCCGCAAGGGUGACCCAGCAACGCCGCGUGGAGGAUGAAUGUCGUAAGAUUGCAAACUCCUGUUAGAGGGGAAGAAUAGUACCGGUUGGACCGGUAUAUGACUGUACCCUCAGAGAAAGCCCCGGCUAACUACGUGCCAGCGGCCGCGGUAAUACGUAGGGGGCAAGCGUUGUCCGGAUUUACUGGGUGUAAAGGGCGCGCAGGCGGGAUAAAAAGUCAGUGGUGAAAUCCUACAGCUUAACUGUAGAACUGCCUUUGAUACUUUUAUUCUUGAGUUCGGGAGAGAGAGACGGAAUUCCAGGUGUAGUGGUGAAAUACGUAGAUAUCUGGAAGAACACCAGUUGCGAAGGCGGUCUCUUGGUCCGACACUGACGCUGAGGCGCGAAAGCGUGGGGAGCAAACA
rnacentral:rRNA from 1 species